AAUGAACGCUGGCGGCGUGCCUAAUACAUGCAAGUCGAGCGGUAAGGCCACUUCGGUGGUACACGAGCGGCGGACGGCUGAGUAACGCGUAGGAAUAUACCCCAGAGUGAGGAAUAACUGCCCGAAAGGGUAGCUAAUGCCGCAUAACAUCUUAGGAUAAAAGCUUUAUGCGCUUUGGGAAUAGCCUGCGUUCGAUUAGCUAGUAGGUGGGGUAACGGCUCACCUAGGCGACGAUCCCUAGCUGGUCUGAGAGGAUGACCAGCCACACUGGAACUGAGACACGGUCCAGACUCCUACGGGAGGCAGCAGUGGGGAAUAUUGCACAAUGGGCGCAAGCCUGAUGCAGCCAUGCCGCGUGUAUGAAGAAGGCCUUCGGGUUGUAAAGUACUUUCAGCGGGGAGGAAGGGAGUAAAGUUAAUACCUUUGCUCAUUGACGUUACCCGCAGAAGAAGCACCGGCUAACUCCGUGCCAGCCGCCGCAGUAA
rnacentral:rRNA from 1 species